rnacentral:rRNA from 1 species
AGCAGCCGCGGUAAUACGGAGGGUGCGAGCGUUAAUCGGAAUUACUGGGCGUAAAGCGCAUGCAGGUGGUUUGUUAAGUCAGAUGUGAAAGCCCGGGGCUCAACCUCGGAAUUGCAUUUGAAACUGGCAGACUAGAGUACUGUAGAGGGGGUAGAAUUUCAGGUGUAGCGGUGAAAUGCGUAGAGAUCUGAAGGAAUACCGGUGGCGAAGGCGGCCCCCUGGACAGAUACUGACACUCAGAUGCGAAAGCGUGGGGAGCAAACAGGAUUAGAUACCCUGGUAG